rnacentral:rRNA from 1 species
UAUUCCUACGGGGGGCAGCAGUGGGGGAUAUUGGACAAUGGGGGAAACCCUGAUCCAGCGACGCCGCGUGAGUGAAGAAGUAUUUCGGUAUGUAAAGCUCUAUCAGCAGGGAAGAAAGAAAUGACGGUAUCUGAGUAAGAAGCCCCGGCUAACUACGUGCCAGCAGCCGCGGUAAUACGUAGGGGGCAAGCGCUAUCCGGAAUUACUGGGUGUAAAGGGAGCGUAGACGGUAAUGCAAGUCUGGAGUGAAAGGCGGGGGCCCAACCCCCGGACUGCUCUGGAAACUGUGUAACUGGAGGGCAGGG